rnacentral:lncRNA from 1 species
UAUCAUGAAAAUGAAUUACCAUUUUUCAACAUUAGCACACGAUACCUUGAUGUCACAGGGAGGGCGGCUGAUCAAAAUCAUGAUGGGACCGACGCUCCAAAAUUGAUGAGACUCAUACAGCAAGAGCUCCAUAAGGAGCUGAAAGUCAUGGCUGGCGAGAGGGAACGAGAGUCGCUUGAUUUCAGUGAAAUAACUGAGGAGGAAAGGAAACAAAUGGAGUAUGAGGAAAGACUGCAAAGGGAACAAGAGGAGCAGGAGGCAAAAGAAUUAGCGGAGAAGAUUCGGAAAGCCAAAUUACGGUCACUGAAACGUCUGGCCCAGAAACUGACCUCAAACUCUGUGAUAAUUUUCUUCCCAACUGUUUACUCUGAAAGUCUUGGUUGUGAACCUGCCUUGAAGUUGCUUCCACUCUAUGAAGAGGCUUCUCUGAGUGUCGUGGAUCAGCUUCCUUUUCAAAUCACCAAGGACAAUCUUGAUUUGGUUUUCUAUGAAUCCGGGCUGGAGCUUACGGACGCUUUUAAAAAGACUCUGACGUCAUUGGAGUGCUAUGUGACGUUACUACAGUAUCAACCGGUCAACCCGGACCCUGAAGCCCCCCUUGAAAAGGAGGAACCUCUUGAUUUGGGCGUCAUAGAACAGAAAACAGUUAUGGUUGCGACAGGCAACGGAGACUGCCUAAAUCCAGCACCUAAGAGUAUAGCGCAGGUGUACAUGAACACAACUGAAUCCGGGGAGAAGGAGAUGGCGUUGUGGACUCCGACCAGUCAUUUGUCGAAAGCAGCGAUUUUUCAGCAAGUUUUCCCGCGGCGCGUAGAGGCUCUGGGUCACGUCGAUGAGAAACUACCACCUCCGUCGUACAUAAUCAUUUACGAGGCUACAAAAGCUCCCGAGCUGAUGGAAACAAUAAAAGAAAACAGUGACAUCGUGGAAAAAUUCGGCUUUUUUGACAGCGCUGAUCCUGCCACUGCCAAGCUCCUUUGCAAAACUCACGAGGAUCUACUCCUUUUCGGCGAAGAUCAGAUUUUACUGAGCAAGCUGGUGAUCGCGAUGAAGGACACGAAGAAGGACGAGUCGAUUCUGUUGUUCUCGCAGCUGUUCCCGAUCUACAUCUCGCCGGACCCGACGAUCGGGCUCAAGGAGCGCGAGCAGUUCUUCCCGUUUGACUUCGACGACUGGGAAGGCAGCGUGGCCGAGGUGAAGCGACAGCGGAAGAUCGCCGAAGAGCAACGGCUCCGGGCCAUCCGGGAGGCAGAGGCAGCUGCCGCAGAAGCCGCGGCCGCCGAAGAGGAGGCUCAAGGAGAGGGUGGUCAAGAGGGCGAGGGGCAGCCAGAGACCGAGGGUGACGCCCCCGAGCAGAAACCAGAAGCUUAA